GUAGUUAGCCGGGGCUUCCUCCUUGGCUACCGUCAUUUGUUUCGUCACCAAGGACAGAGGUUUACAACCCGAAAGCCUUCUUCCCUCACGCGGCGUUGCUGGGUCAGGCUUGCGCCCAUUGCCCAAUAUUCCCCACUGCUGCCUCCCGUAGGAGUCUGGACCGUGUCUCAGUUCCAGUGUGGCCGAUCAGCCUCUCAGCUCGGCUACCCAUCGUCGACUUGGUGGGCCGUUACCCCGCCAACUAUCUAAUGGGACGCGAGCCCCUCCUUCAGCGAAUUGCUCCUUUGACCCCUCUACCAUGCGGUAGCGUGGUCUCAUGCGGUAUUAGCAGUAAUUUCUCACUGUUAUCCCCCUCUGAAGGACAGGUUGCUCACGCGUUACUCACCCGUUCGCCACUAACUCAAGGAGCAAGCUCCUCUCGUCCGUUCGACUUGCAUGUGUUAGGCACGCCGCCAGCGUUCGUCCUGAACCAAGAUCAAAUUCUGA
rnacentral:rRNA from 1 species